GGCGGACUGGUGAGUAACGCGUGAGGAACCUGCCUUUCAGAGGGGGACAACAGUUGGAAACGACUGCUAAUACCGCAUGACGCAUUUUGAUCGCAUGGUCGAAAUGCCAAAGAUUUAUCGCUGAAAGAUGGCCUCGCGUCUGAUUAGCUAGUUGGUGAGGUAACGGCCCACCAAGGCGACGAUCAGUAGCCGGACUGAGAGGUUGACCGGCCACAUUGGGACUGAGAUACGGCCCAGACUCCUACGGGAGGCAGCAGUGGGGAAUAUUGGGCAAUGGGCGCAAGCCUGACCCAGCAACGCCGCGCGAAGGAAGAAGGCUUUCGGGUUGUAAACUUCUUUUAAGUGGGAAGAGCAGAAGACGGUACCACUUGAAUAAGCCACGGCUAACUACGUGCCAGCAGCCGCGGUAAUACGUAGGUGGCAAGCGUUGUCCGGAUUUACUGGGUGUAAAGGGCGUGCAGCCGGGCAUGCAAGUCAGAUGUGAAAUCUCAGGGCUUAACCCUGAAACUGCAUUUGAAACUGUAUGUCUUGAGUGCCGGAGAGGUAAUCGGAAUUCCUUGCGUAGCGGUGAAAUGCGUAGAUAUAAGGAAGAACACCAGUGGCGAAGGCGGAUUACUGGACGGUAACUGACGGUGAGGCGCGAAAGCGUGGGGAGCGAACAGGAUUAGAUACCCUGG
rnacentral:rRNA from 1 species